rnacentral:rRNA from 1 species
UACGAAGGGGGCUAGCGUUGCUCGGAAUCACUGGGCGUAAAGCGCACGUAGGCGGACUCUUAAGUCGGUGGUGAAAUCCUGGAGCUCAACUCCAGAACUGCCUUCGAAUACUGAGAGUCUCGAGUCCGGGAGAGGUGAGUGGAACUGCGAAGUGUAGAGGUGAAAUUCGUAGAUAUUCGCAAGAACACCAGUGGCGAAGGCGGCUCACUGGACCGGUAUUGACGCUGAGGUGCGAAAGCGUGGGGAGCAAACAGG